GACGUACUCCCUCCGUCCGGAAAUACCUAUCCAAGAAAUGGAUAAAAUGGAUGUAUCUAUAACUAAAAUAAGUCUAGAUACAACCAUUUCUAAGACAAGUAUUUCCGGACGGAGGGAGUAAGAA
rfam:Triticum urartu cultivar G1812 contig329568, whole genome shotgun sequence.